rnacentral:tRNA from 2 species
UGGAUUGUUAGCUCAGUUGGUAGAGCAUCUGACUCUUAAUCAGGCGGUCCAGGGUUCGAGUCCCUGACAAUCCAUCC